rnacentral:rRNA from 1 species
CAUGCUGUAAACGUUGGGCACUAGGUGUGGGGAUCGUUGUGGUUUCUGCGCCGUAGCUAACGCAUUAAGUGUCCCGCCUGGGGAGUACGGCCGCAAGGCUAAAACUCAAAGGAAUUGACGGGGACCCGCACAAGCGGCGGAGCAUGCGGAUUAAUUCGAUGCAACGCGAAGAACCUUACCAGGGCUUGACAUACUUUUGCAGGGUCUAGAGAUAGACCUGUUCUCUUUUGAGACGAAAGUACAGGUGG